GGAUGGGAGGGCAAAUUGUGGCAACACCUGUCACCCCACUGAUUGCCAAGGUUGACUCCACUGAUCUGCCUGGUUAGGCAGGUGUCCCUUUCCUCCCUUGCCACCCAUGGGUACCCCUCCCAAAGCUGCAUGCUUGGUUAAAGAGUGCUACCUUCCUUGAAUAAAGUAGGAGAAUGGUCUUCAUUCAAUGGUGUACGGGUAGCUGUGCUCCCCUGCUGGAACCUCCAAACAAGCUUUCACAAAGUCCUGGUGGUCAGAAGUUGAAAAUCAACAUGUCAAUAGGCU
rnacentral:snRNA from 1 species